rnacentral:misc_RNA from 1 species
ACAGGACAGAUAUUUGCAGAGCAGACGAAGACACGAGCUUAACCCAUGGAGCCAACGCCCCCAGCGUAUUCGUUCACGCAACUCUCACACGCUUCCCUCGUUAUUUACACUCUUCUCUUUCCCACUCCUUUCACCUUCUCUUCUCCUUGAAUUGGCUCUCCUGCUUUAUUUCUCUGUCCUCUAUUUCUGCUUCUGACUUGAUGGCUGCGCUGCGCGGAGUUGGUUUCACUAUAAGCCCUGAGCGUGUGCAAGUGAAAUUUUUUAGUGAAAAUUUAUCGACAAGACUGAUUAAGCGUAAUUUCUUUUGUGUCAAACGUAAGUCUGCCUUUUCUUAUAGAAGAGAGUUCUGGAAAAACAGAUGCUCAUUGUCUAGUAAAGCCGUGUCUCCACUGGAAUCAGAAGACAAUGCUGGCAGUGCUUUAACGGAUUCUUUGGAGGAAGAAUCAGGGCAUGUUAUAAGGUUCGACAUGUCCGAUUUCAAACUGCUUACCCAUGUCAGUAUUGGCCUUGGUGGGCGGGCGGAUGAGGUUGUUUAUGAAGCUAUAGUGAAGGAUUCUAGCAGUCCUUUAUAUAACACCAGAGUUGUGCUACGACAAUUUUUAAGUGCACAAGCUCAACGCAGAGGAAAGCGAGCGAUAGAGGUAUUGAAGAAGUUGGUCCGCCGCAGACUCCUUUACCAUUCUUAUUCAAUGCAAGUUCAUGGUUAUGUCUAUUCACCUGCAACUGGCGGCCGUAGCUUGUUUACCCUGGUUCAUGGGUAUCAUGGUAGUUUUUCUUUAAGACAUUGGCUUCAACAAUCAGAUUGGCUUCCUACCUUGGAAGCUACUCUUGCAUUGGAUGAAGAAUCUGUGAGGAGGGUGGGAGAUGAUACAAUUGGAGGGCCUGCAGUCUCUCGGCAGUCGCGAAUUAUACGUAUAUUGAUGAGGGAUCUCUUGAUCGGAGUGAAUUACUUGCACAGUCAUGGACUUGCCCAUACAGAGUUGAGGCUGGAGAAUGUUCAUAUAAGCCCAGUCGACAGACAUAUUAAAGUAGGGAUAUUAGGGAAUGCUGCUGACUUUUAUGAGGAUGGUCCAAAUAGUAAUACACUGGACAACUGCAUGGACCGGCGACAGAUGAUGAUUGCAUUUGACAUGAGAUGUGUUGGAUUCAUGAUGGCAAAAAUGGUGUUGCGAGAACUUAUGGAUCCCUCAAUCUUCGCGAGUUUUAAAUCAUUCCUCAUGAAGGGAAAUGAUCCUUCAUGCUUGCGGGAAUUUUUGUUGCGAAUAUUCAGAAGGAACGCUCUAUCUGGUAGUGCUGGACUCCAAAUACUUGAUCGGAAUUGGGGUGCAGGUUGGAACCUUCUGUCCUUAUUACUUGCUACCAAACCUUCUAAGAGAAUAAGUUGUUUGGAUGCUCUCAGACACCCAUUUUUGUGUGGACCUAGAUGGCGGGUUGUCCCAUCCAUGGAUAUUAUUAGAUGGGGCCUCGGUUCAACUGCAGUGCGCAUUGCAGAGGAAUAUAUUUACAGCAGGCCCCAGCGUAAUAGGCUUGCCUACUUUGUUGAAUUGAUGGAGAUGCUGAAUCCACAUUCAAGGCCAAAGGUAAAUAAUUGAAUUAUUGUAGAUUUUAUAGAUUCAUUGAUUUCUUUGCUGUCAUUUACAGACCACCAGUCAAGUAUUCUAUUCUAGAUCAGUGUGGCUGCCAAUUAGGGCUAUACCUUACAUUUGCCAUUUGCACGCUCAGUUCAUAUGGAGAUAGUUUAACUUUUUCUUCAUAAAUUAAUUCCAGGUCAAUGGGAACUGGGAAGUGUCUCAUGAAGUAGAAGAAACAUUUUAUUAAUCAGUUAAACUUUGAGCAUAAACCACCUUAGCUCUAGUCUGUUUGAAGGUUUAUUGAAAUUGUAACAAUUUGAUCUGCAGAACUGGUUGGAGUUGCUGCCUGGAAAAUGGCGUCUAUUAUACUGUACAGGGAGGCACAUAGGCUUAACCCUUCGUCAGCCCUCUGCUCGUGUUCUCAUCGGCGAUGUUAAUUUAACUGUUUCAAGAGCAUUGGAUUUAAACACCAGCCUUUCUUUCACUUCUGACAUUGGCUUCACAGUCAUCAUCGGUCAUGAUUGGCCCCAUGACAAGGCUGGCAUUAUUGGGAAAAUGGAAGUAGACUCUGUAUUUAGAUUAACAUCUGGAAGACGGUUGUAUCUUAAGGAAGAAAAAAGUACUGGAAGAUUCUCCUUUGGUCAAUCAAACAAUUUUGAUUCAUUAUUUCAGAAAUUAUCAGGUAGAAAAUGGAGGAAAGCAAUCCCUUUUAAGGAGUUCCCAUCGAGCCUUCCAGUGGCUAAGCUUGCUUCGAAUGACAUAGAGGUGACAAUGAAUCUCAGUGACCCACUUGAUCAAAAUGUUGUUACUGCAAGAAAUUUAAUUCAAGAAGUUCGCAUGCAAAUACCUCCUGAAAUGUUUGAUUUAUCAAAGCUUGUUUGUGGUACAUAUGUGGACUCCAGGCUACUUGUCCUCCGUGGGGUAAAUGGAUCAGCUCUCUUAUUUACAAGGUCUUGUGUUGAUGAAACAUUGUAGAUAACAAUAGUCAUGGAGGGAAGUGUAAUUAUGUAUUGUAUUCUUUGAUUGUGCAAUCUGUACAAAAUUUAUUAUCUGAUUAAGGAUAUAUGCACUUCCUGGAAUAGCUUGUAUAAGAUUGCUACUGUACCCUAAUUGUACAAUCUGUAAAGUCCACUGCCUAGAUUGUAUAAGAUUUUCAUUUUUUAUAAGAAAUUCGAAGCUACAAAGUGUUGCAAUGUACAGCAGCAAAAGGCCUUUAUCUUUCUCGGAUAAAAGAUUGAAGAUUGAAGAUUGAAGGUGAUUUAGAUGGUGUUGAUGAGCACCGAUUUCAUGCGAUACUGACAUGAACAGUAUUGCCUCAGCAUGACAACAUCCAGUGACAUAAAGCUUGUUUCUGUAUAUAUCAACUUCCAGACCAUUAGAAACUACCAUCCGAGUUUUCAGAUGGAAAAUUAUGGCGAUAUCCAGUUGUAGGUUCCAAUGAUGCUUCACCUUGGCAAUAUAGAUAUCAGUUGGAGUGCCAAUUUCUGAAAAAAUUGCUGCAGUUCAAAGCUAUAACACAAAAUAUUGCAGGAGUUGUAUGACAGUGCUAGAAAUUUGUAGAAAAAACAGGACAGAAGGUUUCAAAAUCUCCUGGCUGCUGUGCAUAGUGAAGAAUUGUUGAUGUUCAUUGUGUGCGUGCUCUUCUUACCAAGGAAAUUCAAGAUAUGAUCGGGCAGUUCUAUGUUACAAAUUCAAGAAAAAUUGACGGCUGCAGUUUCCUCCAUACGAACUAAUUAGGAAGUUCUUUUGUGUUACCUGUUACUUGGUUUCUAUAAACAUGCAUUGUAUGAGAAUUGAGAAUUGUACAAACUGUGCAGGCACUUCCCAUGAAUCCCUCUCUUUUCAUGAAACACAACUUUCCCUUCUUUCAAAUGCUUGUCAUCGCUUUGGCUUUUUCAAAUUUUGUUCUAUUUCUUAGCAGCCAAACAAAGGCUUCAAU